CAGGCUUAACACAUGCAAGUCGAGGGGCAGCAUGGUCUUAGCUUGCUAAGGCCGAUGGCGACCGGCGCACGGGUGAGUAACGCGUAUCCAACCUGCCUUACACUCUUGGACAGCCUUCUGAAAGGGAGAUUAAUACAAGAUGUUAUCAUGAGUAAGCAUUUUCGCAUGAUUAAAGGUUUACCGGUGUAAGAUGGGGAUGCGUUCCAUUAGAUAGUAGGCGGGGUAACGGCCCACCUAGUCUUCGAUGGAUAGGGGUUCUGAGAGGAAGGUCCCCCACAUUGGAACUGAGACACGGUCCAAACUCCUACGGGAGGCAGCAGUGAGGAAUAUUGGUCAAUGGACGAGAGUCUGAACCAGCCAAGUAGCGUGAAGGAUGAAGGUUCUAUGGAUUGUAAACUUCUUUUAUACGGGAAUAAACGAAUCCACGCGUGGAUUUUUGCAUGUACCGUAUGAAUAAGGAUCGGCUAACUCCGUGCCAGCAGCCGCGGUAAUACGGAGGAUCCGAGCGUUAUCCGGAUUUAUUGGGUUUAAAGGGAGCGUAGAUGGGUUGUUAAGUCAGUUGUGAAAGUUCGCGGCUCAACCGUAAAAUUGCAAUUGAUACUGGCAGUCUUGAGUACAGUUGAGGUAGGCGGAAUUCGUGGUGUAGCGGUGAAAUGCUUAGAUAUCACGAAGAACUCCGAUUGCGAAGGCAGCUUACUAACCUGUAACUGACAUUGAUGCUCAAAAGUGUGGGUAUCAAACAGGAUUAGAUACCCUGGUAGUCCACACGGUAAACGAUGAAUACUCGCUGUAGGCGAUAUACAGUCUGCGGCCAAGCGAAAGCAUUAAGUAUUCCACCUGGGGAGUACGCCGGCAACGGUGAAACUCAAAGGAAUUGACGGGGGCCCGCACAAGCGGAGGAACAUGUGGUUUAAUUCGAUGAUACGCGAGGAACCUUACCCGGGCUUAAAUUGCAACCGAAUAUGGCGGAAACGCUAUAGCUAGCAAUAGCGGUUGUGAAGGUGCUGCAUGGUUGUCGUCAGCUCGUGCCGUGAGGUGUCGGCUUAAGUGCCAUAACGAGCGCAACCCUUGCCGAUAGUUACUAACAGGUCAUGCUGAGGACUCUGUCGGGACUGCCAUCGUAAGAUGUGAGGAAGGUGGGGAUGACGUCAAAUCAGCACGGCCCUUACGUCCGGGGCUACACACGUGUUACAAUGGGGGGUACAGAGGGCUGCUACCACGCAAGUGGAUGCCAAUCCCAAAAACCUCUCUCAGUUCGGAUUGAAGUCUGCAACCCGACUUCAUGAAGCUGGAUUCGCUAGUAAUCGCGCAUCAGCCACGGCGCGGUGAAUACGUUCCCGGGCCUUGUACACACCGCCCGUCAAGCCAUGGGAGCCGGGGGUACCUGAAGUGCGUAACCGCAAGGAGCGCCCUAGGGUAAAACUGGUGACUGG
rnacentral:rRNA from 1 species